rnacentral:rRNA from 1 species
GACGAACGCUGGCGGCGUGCCUAAUACAUGCAAGUUGAGCGCUGAAGGUUUGUACUUGUACCAACUGGAUGAGCAGCGAACGGGUGAGUAACGCGUGUGGAAUCUGCCUUUGAGCGGGGGACCACAUUUGGAAACGAAUGCUAAUACCGCAUAAAAACUUGAAACACAAGGGUUAAGUUUGAAAGAUGCAAUUGCAUCACUCAAAGGUGAUCCCUCGUUGUAUUAGCUAGUUGGUGAGGUAAAGGAUCACCAAGGCGAGGUUACAUAGACGCACUGAUAGGGUGGGUGGCCGCAUUGGGACGGAGACACGGCCCAAACGCCUAGGGGAGGCAGCAGUAGGGAAACUUCGGGCAUGGAUGAAAGACUGAGCGAGAAACGCCGCGGGAGGGAAGAGGGAUUUCGGAUCGUAAAACUCGGUUGGCAGGGAAGAACGUGGGUGAGAGUGGAACGAUGCGCAAGUGACGGUAACGACUAAGAAAGGGACGGCUAACUACGUG